rnacentral:rRNA from 1 species
UACGGGGGGAGCAAGCGUUGUUCGGAUUUACUGGGCGUAAAGGGCGCGUAGGCGGUCAGCACAAGACAGUUGUGAAAUCUCCGGGCUUAACUCGGAAAGGUCAACUGAUACUGUGCGACUAGAGUGCGGAAGGGGCAACUGGAAUUCUCGGUGUAGCGGUGAAAUGCGUAGAUAUCGAGAGGAACACCUGCGGCGAAGGCGGGUUGCUGGGCCGACACUGACGCUGAUGCGCGAAAGCCAGGGGAGCGAACGGG